AUGUUGGUUUGUAGAGUAACCCAGUCAAUGCUCAGGAAAUAUGAGAGUGGGGUGAAGAUGAUCCAAAUCAAUAAGAUGGUUGCAGAGAUCCUCAAGGAUCACCCAUCUUGGUACCAUGAUUGCGAAUUCAUUGAUAUCAUCCAUGUUAUCCCUACGGGUAAUGGUGGAACCAUUGAGGUCAUCUACAUGCAGAUUUAUGCACCAACAACUUUGGCGGCACCACUCGACUUUUGGAUGCUACUACACCAGUGGACUUGAAGAUGUGUGAAAGGUCAUUGACUUAGUCCACUGGUGGCCCAUCUAGGCCUAACACUCCGAAUGUAUUGACUUGGUGAGUCAACCUGUGAUGUAAUUGAACUUGUUUUGGAUAGUGAUUUGUGGAUGUAAUUAGUUGAUCUUGUAACUGAC